rnacentral:rRNA from 1 species
UAAGCCUACCGGAAGGUGGGCUUGGCCCAAAC